rnacentral:tRNA from 1 species
GGCCGGUUAGCUCAACCAGUUGAGCAUAGUGCUAACAACACCAAGGUCAUGGGUUCGAUUCCCCUUCGGUCC